UACAGAGGUCUCAAGCGUUGUUCGGAUUCAUUGGGCGUAAAGGGUGCGUAGGCGGCGCGGUAAGUCGGGUGUGAAAUCUUGGAGCUUAACUCCGAAACUGCAUUCGAUACUGCCGUGCCUGAGGACUGGAGAGGAGACUGGAAUUUACGGUGUAGCGGUGAAAUGCGUAGAUAUGCGGAGGAACACCGAUGGCGAAGGCAAUCCCCUGGACCUGUACUGACGCUCAUGCACGAAAGCGUGGGGAGCAAACAGG
rnacentral:rRNA from 1 species